UGGAAUGUAUCAACUCUGAGAUAGGAGGCAUUUUGGCAAAACUUGACCAUUUGACCAUUGCACUGGUCAAUCCUGUAUAUAUAAUGUCUUGUGAAGGCAGGUGGGGGCUAGACACUGCCCAUUAAAAAGGGAUCAUUUCUGACCUGUGACAAAAAGAGAACUCCAGGGGAGAGCUCAGAAAACCCUGGGAUGGUCUUGCUGGAAUUAGCAGAUGCCAACAGGCUUGGCUGCCUCAAACUGAAAAGCACUUGGGCAACUUUUAAGAUCACAGUGUAAGAAAACUCAGAUAAUGGGCUGGAGAGGAUUACAGAUAUCUUUCCCUAUCACUUCUUCUUCAAUUAGUGCUUAUUAGUAGCCAAGUUGGGGGUUGAGGAGGCAAAAAUCAAACAGCAGAAAAUAA